UGGCCUUUCCAACGUGCUAGUUUCUGCAG
rnacentral:piRNA from 1 species